AAAAGUAAAAGGUUCUAAAAACAAAAUUAAACCUCUGUAUUCUCAAAACAUAGUACCGCAUAAAAUCCUCUGCCCUAAUCUUCGUCUAGCUAGCGUUAGAGCCGGUCUCGCUUAUCUGGUCGUGUGCGAAAUCGAUCAACUGAUCAUCUGCCCUAGUUUCCAUCUCCUUCUUUGAGAAUCCAAGGCAUGCCUCCUCUUUCAAGUUUCUCUUUUUCUUCUCUAUGCGUUCUGAUUUCGCUGAUUGCAGAUCUUCUACUUCUUCUUCUUCUUCUCCUCUAACAUUAAAACAUUGGUAUUUUUCGUUUAUAUAAUCAGUGGAAAGAUUAUUGGGUUGGGAUUCCUAAUUUGAUAAUUUAAUUUUCUGAAGUGUAUUCAAGUUUGUAGCAUAUUGUUUAAAGAAUAUUAUUUCAUUCAAAGUGCACACCAGUUUUGAAAGUUAAUUAUUCAUUGAAUGGCACAUAGUUUUAUGUAUUCAGUGAGGGAUUAAUCGUGAGGAUAUUUGGGCUGCUAUAAUUUUUACUGUUGUUUGCUCAAGUUUGUUGUUUUGGAUUUCUUCUAUAAACUGAUUGUUGGGUGUUGUUUCUGAAGGUUUAUACUACUGACAUUGUGAAUAUUUUUGUGUAGUUUACUUUUCCUUAGUUUCGUUGAGCAUGCUGAUUUAUUUUCUCUUGUGUACAUGAGCUAUAUCCCUUUUAUAUGUUGAGUUUUCAAGAUUUAUUGCUAUUACUCAUAUUCUAAAAUUAUUUUUCAAUUGCCCUAUUUAAUUUGUUGGGAAUUAGGUCUCAAAGGCUUGAUAUGUUGGUUUCAGCUACAUAAUUGAAGCUUGUAAGAUGUUAAAAAAAAUAAUUAUGGGUAUCUGUUAUUCCGUCAUCUAGCAAAAUAAAAAAUUCUUUGAGCUUUAUGGGUUUUUAUUUGUUUCGUUUUACUUCUGAUCUUCUUUAAAUUUGUGUAUAGUUUAUAUUGUUCCUUAAUGGGUCUGCAUAUUUCUUUCUAUUAUGUUAUAUUGUGGACCAAACUGGUUGAAUAUUGGAAUAGGAGGGGUUCAAAUGGAGUGGAAUUGAGAUUCUGGAUUGGUAAAGCUAAUUAAACUAGUUUGAGAUUAAGACGUAGUAAUUACAGUUUGUAUUUAAGAUUUAUUUUUCAGUUAUGAUAAUUCAAUAAUAUUUGUAUUUUCUUUGAUCUUUUUCUUUGACUCAUGACCUUUCUCCAAGAUUAUGGAACCUAGUAAUAAAUGAAUGCAACUUGUUGAUAAUCGGCUCGAUGAAGCCUACUUAAUUGGAGUGCAAAAGUUUUUGGAUUAUGCUUUUCAGAAAAUAGGAGAAGAAUAUGAAAUACGAUGCCCAUGUAUCAAAUGUUGUAAUACAACUUUAGGAACUCAUAAGACAGUUGAGACACAUUUGAAAGUAUAUGGAAUAAUUCAAAAUUAUACUUUAUAUCAUCACGGGAAAAAGUUAGGUGAGCCACUGUCAGAAUCAGAAAAUGAAGACGGUGAUGAACAGGGGUUCUUCCCUUUCAUUUGCUUUUAUAAGUAUUCCCCAGAUCAGUGUUGUGGUUUUAAAAUCCCUGUGUCCCUCUCAUUAAUACGAGAAGAGCAACUUAUGAUAUUGCAUGUCAUAACUCUACUAUGAGAGUAGGAUGAAGUUACUUGCAUAUCAGCGAAGGGGGUUGAUAGAAUAUUCUUUCAAGAAGCAUAUAUUUAUCCAUGUAAAACAACAUUAAUCAUGUACACAUAAUUCGCGAUAAGAUGCUAAGUGUUGUUUAAUUUCUAUGUUGUUUCGAUUUGUAAUAGAAACAUCUGUGGGUGCUGUCCAGAUUACUAUUAGAAGAUAUUUCAUUAUUUUCUUUCUUCCCCUCUCCUGGUUUUCUUAAGUUGAUGGAUAACGAGUCAGAAAGGGGUAUUCUGUUGCUAGUCAUAUUUUCAAUUGAAUGUUGCCUGGAGUUAUAGACUGAUUACUUCUGUGAUUCAGUAACUUAAGUCAGUUCCUUCCAUGGACUGUUUUCGAUUUUGCCAUGUGUUUGUUGCAUCUUGGUCAUAUAACCAUUUUGCCAACAGUUACAUAUCCGUGCUAAAACUCUGGAUGAUAUGAAAAUCGGUGGGAAAGAGUGAUUUCAUGCUGUAAGUUAUAGACAGAGAGAAAUAUAUUCAUUGGAAGUUUCUGACGUAGCUCUCAACUCCUUUUGUAGAGACAUAUCUAUGCAAAAAUAUACUCUAAUAAUAUGUUUGCAGCAUGGCUGUUAAAUCUGACUUGAGCAGUUGAGUUUCAUGCUAGUACAUCUGGAAUAUCCUUGAUUUAUAGACCUUUGUAUUGUAUCUCUAGUGCACCUUACAGUUCCAUCUCUAGUGAACCUUACAGUUCUGCAUAACCUAUCUCUGUGAUUUUGCCUUCAUCAUCCUGGAGGCCAAGUGUUCAAGUAUAUAUUGUAUGUUGGAAUAUUAAGUUUAUUCUAAAGAAUUUUAGAAGAUCAACUUAUUAAUGUAAUCUUAAUGUUUCACAAAUUAGGCGAGAAGCAACAGAAAUGCGGCAAAUCGAGCUAAGUUGAAGAUGCUUCAUCAUAUUGGUAGCAAGCCUAUUCGUGAGAUAAUUUAUCAAAAGGUAUUAUCAUAAAAUUUCUAUUUUCAUAAUGAAAAAUAUUUACGAGCUGUUAUUUGACAUGUUUGCCUUUGAUGUAAAGGGUGGAAAAGAUGGCAACCCACCGGAUUUGGCAACAAUUUUCUUUGAGACCCGUAAGAAAGAUAACAAACUUGUUGAACCUGAAGCAAUUGAAAAACAUGUAUGUUUGAUAAAUUGAAUAUGUAAAUUACUUGAAAUUAUGGUGGAUUCUGAUUUUAAAUGUUCUUUUUAUAUAUUUUGUGGGCCCAAAUCGAAGAAAUAAUUCAAGCAGAUCCAUCUCUACCUAGCAUAGAUAUUGUAGAAAAAUGUUGUGGACCUCAAACUCGUAGCCAUGUGUUUAGAUUUGGGGGUGGAGUGAAGGCGAAAGACUUGAAAGGUGGAACUUCUUCAGAGGCUGAAUUACUAUCCGAGCUACGUUCAACUCGAGAAGAAAACAAAUCUUUGAAUGAGGAAAACAAAUCCUUGAAUGAGCGCUUGUCUACCUUAGAAGAUGAGAUGAAAGAAAUGAGAAAAAUACGAGAGUACUUCGCUGCUCAACAAUCACAUGUCCCGCUUACAACGACAUCUCUCGUUUCAACUGAAUGACCACUAUUUUUGUCUGCUGACCAAGUUAGUAACAAUAUACCCAACUUUUUAAUUUUAUUCAUAAUUUGCGUAUAGUCAAUUUCUAUAUUACAGAUUUAUUUGACUUCACCCUUCUAAAAGGAUAACGAUUUAACUAAUGUACAAUGGUGUAGUAAGUAGUCAUAGCUUCCUAUGUAAUUUCAAUCUUUAAGCAAAGAACUUAUCAAAUUCGAGUUAGGUUCGAACUCAUGACAUGUGUCUACUCCACACAUCACGCACUACUCACUAGCGGUGUUUAAAUAUGUAUUAUUAGCUGUAUGGAAACUAAGUUAUCACAUUAGUAAUGUUAGAAACAAGACGUAGAUCUUAUUUCUUCAAUUUAGUUUUGUGCUACUAUAAGUCUGUAACAAACCAGAGCUUUGAAAAUUCUAGCAGCUGAAACUACAUAUGGGUCUUCACAUGCUAGAAACUACAAAAUCUCUGCACGAAAAGAGGUGGUCUACCUUGGAAUUUUCAUAUAUUCCCUUGCCCAAAGAACAUAUUAACUUUCAAAACAAAUUGAAAUAAAGUGAAAUAAGCACCAAUCCAAAAAGAUAAUGUGGUCCAAACCACAGUUAGAUUCAUGAUAUAUCUCCUAGCACCAGUCUAGUUCGUCAAUAAUGUGGGUAGAAAUCAAAAGAGACCAAGAUCAAAUCGCAUCAAAGAUAAUAAAACCUUAGGUGAUUUCUUCUCAUCUACCUGAAUUUUGAUGAAUAGAGUUUUUCGAUACCUGCGUCGGUGGAGUAAGCAGAUAUCUAGUGAAAUAGUCAAGGUACAUACAAGCUGACUCAAACAACAUCAUAAAAUGAGAAGAUUGUCAUAAAUAUCCAAAUCGUAAAAGAAAGACCAUCUGUCCACAUUAUACACAAGGUCCCUAGUAGUCCAGAAUUUCAAAUCAAAAUCAUACAAGUGACAAGUUGUGGGAAGGGAUGACCACUUGCUUCUAAAAAUGAAUACUUUCCAACAUACAAAAUGACAAACAAAUUAUAGUGUCACAACUUGUAACACUAUAGAUGGCGCUGCUUAUCGGAAAAUCCAGUAGACAAUAAAAAUAGAGGAUCUGAAGCAUCAGAAAUGAACAUCCCCAACUGAUUGUUGUGAUCCAAGUAUCAUGUGCAUUGAGAAGUCCAACAAGCAAUGGUUCAUUCAAGUCAGGGCUGUUCAUGAUAGAGUACUCAUCUGGUUUAUGAAUUCUCCAAAAUUAUAGAUGCUCGCGGAUAAUUUCUUUAUGGUGUAUUUUGAAUUAUAUUGGUAGAACAUGAUUUUGAAUGUCCUGUUUAUUUGUUGUAUGUCUUGUUUGUUCCGUACAUAGCUGGUGAUGUCUGUGCUCAGUAGAAGUAGAUGAUAUGGUUCUCUUAUGAUUAAAAAUUCCAAGUUUAUACAAUGCGUCAUAUAGAGUCCUACCCGAUUUUGAAUGUCCCACCCGAUAAGCUAUAAACACAUGUAGUUGUGUACCCAAGACUGUUAUGUUCUUAGGGAUCUGUCUCUUGACAUAUGUCAUUAGUAGUUUGGGUCCUGAAAUUUGUCAAACACUGAAGUAAAAGUCUUUUUGGCCUUUCUGUACAUUUUUUAACUUGAUUUUCCUAUCCUUUUGCCUCUUCAUAAUUUUUGUGUUUACCUGAAUUGUGCUAGUUUUUCACCAGCAAAAGUUUAUUCUUUUGAAACACUAUGAAUCUUUACUAUUUCAUGUCAGCCAUGCUGGUUUAAUAAUCAUUUGAAUUAUGUGAACAGUGGCUCUCUGUGUCAAUUAGUUUUGGCCUGGCCUAAACGCAGAAUGUUUGAUUGAAUGAAUGACUUCUUUGCCGUUAAAGCUUAGAUGAUCUGCCAACAUUCUGUUCUCUUUGUGUUUGUCAGAAGCAUUUCAUAUCUUUUACUUAUACCUUAGCCACUUGUAGGUUAUAGUUGUCGCUCUCAAUCUCAACAAUAAAGUCCUCAAUCGCCCCUACAUCAUAGGUUUCUUUUGUCAAGCUAGAAAUUAGCCUAGUGAUGUUGUUAUCUAUUCAUAAUAGUUGGUAUCUUGAAUGGUAAAUCUCGAAUUGUCGUACCGAGAUUUAUCGAACCAAAGUAAGAUUAACUAACCCAAAGCUUUUCUAAUUAAUUUUUCUUAUAUUCUUGUAGCAUUGUUGAUGUUGCUGGAUAACACCUGGUGAAUUUAGACUGCUUUUGGGGUAAGCGAUUUAACAAUUGCUCAUUUAAAAUUAUAUAUGUUAUUUUACCAAUAGUUAUUUAUCAUUUUUUCAAUCUUUUGUACUGACAGGUUUUGAAGACUGAAGCUACAAGUCAAGAUUCAAGUUUAGAAUAUGCACAAGCUCAUUAUUAUUUUGCUAAAUGUUAUGCAAAACUUGAUAUCAUAGUCUAGCUCAGGAUGAUAGCUAAGUUUUUUUUGUUGAGGUGUUGAGAAAACAUAGAAAGUAACAUCAUCAUGGGAUUUCAACUUGAUAUCUUAUAUUUUUAUAUCUAGAUUUUUCAAUAACAAUUUGAUAUUGAUUGAUAAAAAUUACUUUUUGUGGC
rnacentral:lncRNA from 1 species